UACGUAGGGCGCAAGCGUUAUCCGGAAUUAUUGGGCGUAAAGAGCUCGUAGGCGGUUUGUCGCGUCUGCCGUGAAAGUCCGGGGCUCAACUCCGGAUCUGCGGUGGGUACGGGCAGACUAGAGUGCAGUAGGGGAGACUGGAAUUCCUGGUGUAGCGGUGAAAUGCGCAGAUAUCAGGAGGAACACCGAUGGCGAAGGCAGGUCUCUGGGCUGUAACUGACGCUGAGGAGCGAAAGCUAGGGGAGCAAACGGG
rnacentral:rRNA from 1 species